UUCAUCCACCAACCGCCCCAUUCCAUCUUCAACCCUAAUUGUUUUGCCGCCCCCUACGCGUCGCUCCAACUCCUAAUGUCCCUCCCUAGACGGAAAAUUGGAGUGAGUUCAUUGUCGCUUCUUCUUCCCUCCCAGCCGUUUUCGUUCGCGACGCUUCGUUCCUGCUUAUUGAUCCUGGCCAUUUUCAUUACCGGCGCUUCGUUCACGUUCGUUCGCGGCGCUUCGCUGUCUCUAUCUCUCUAGGCUUUGUCAUUUUCCUUUUCAAAACCCUAAAUCAUCGCGCAACACAUCCUCCUUUUUCCCACCUUGGCACCACUCUCCACGGAGCAGCGCCACCGCCCUAGCGAAUCCCCUCGCCCUAUGGCGGCGGAGUUGAAGGCCAACGACUCCUCCGUGCCCUUUGAGAUAUCUAUGGAGAGGACCCUGAAGCUUCUAUGGUUUUCUGAUCCUACAAGGACGAUUGCCAAGCCGUAACCUAAAUCUCUUUUUGGGUGUUAAUUUGAUUCAAAUUACAUUUUUCAUUUGGUAUUUUUUUAAGAGAAAAAUUAGAUUUUUGGAUGAUAAAAGGACCAUCCGGUGACUACAACAUCUUCCUUACCCCUCUCUCGAUCUCAAUCUCAAUCUCUAUCUCUCUUUGUUUUGAUCUACAAUUAUGAUGUGUUUUCGAUGAUUUUGCGAUGAUUUAGGUGCAGAAAUGUAGACAGAUGAGGAUUUAGCAUUGAAGCAGUAACUGGAAUUGUAUGUUGAAAGAGUUUUGGACUUGGAUCCCGGCAUUCAAAAUCUUGCCCUUGAAAGCAUGAGGAUCUAUCUGUCGACUUAAGUUGGAUGACGAUUAUGCAACUGUGCAGCCAUUGAUUUCCUUACAAAUUUUUUCGGUGCUCUGCUUCAUUUUAUUUUACUUAAUGUAAGUUGCUAUUUCACUUCCUCUUUUUCUGCUACUAUUUCUUCUAUCACAUAUCUGGUAUAUACAUAUGAGUUCAUCCAAUUAUUCCUUAUGCCUAUAUUUUCUUUUUGUUUAUAUCUAAUCUUAAAAAACUGCUAGAAAAUAAACUAAAUUUGUAUGCUUAUGCUGUAUAAUAAAUUCAUAUAUGUCGUCUUCUAUCAUGUGUUAAUACUCAUGUCUAACCUCUUAAAGCAGAAUCUGAGGAGCUAAAUCCAUAAAUGCAUGCAUGUUGUAUUUUAUCAUGUGUAAACAUUUAUGUACCUAAUCUCUUAAAGUUGAUGUGUAAAUCUAAAUAUUAUAUAUUUCUUAUCCUUUUAACUCAAAUAUUUUAUCUAUUUUAUAAUUAUUAUAUUAUGCAUCUUUGAUAUUGAUUACUGAUGGUUAGCUUAAUCUACAUUUCAUUUAUUAAGAACACAGAAAUAACUGAUACAGUAAUACAAAAGACUAUUUUUAUCACUAUAAUACAUGCCCAAUUUUUUUGCAUUUACUGACUAUUGCUUUUUCUUAGUGCUAACUAUUGCAGAUGUUUUUUGACUGCUACAACUCUAAAUUUCAUUGUAUCUAUGGCUGCCACUGCUGCUGUAGCUUCGGAUGUUUCUAUUUUUAUUUAUCUAUUAUUCAAAUCUUUUUAUUCUUCUGAUGUAUUUACUAUUUCUUCUCUCUUUAGCUUCUUUAUUUACUAUUUCUUCUAUCUUUAUUUAUACAUCAAAAUUUCUUCUCC